rnacentral:misc_RNA from 1 species
AACGGUCUAUACCUGCGGUACCUGCGGAAGGAUCAUUAUCGAGUUUACAACUCCCAAACCAUUGUGAAUCUUACCUUUUCGUUGCUUCGGCGGGAUCGCCCCGGGCGCUUCGGUGCCCCGGAUUCAGGCGCCCGCCGGGGGACCUAAACUCUUGUAUUAUAGUGGAUUUCUGAGUGGAUUACACAAAUAAUCAAAACUUUCAACAAUGGAUCUCU